GAUGAACGCUAGCUACAGGCUUAACACAUGCAAGUCGAGGGGCAGCGCAGUGUAGCAAUACAUGGGCGGCGACCGGCGCACGGGUGCGUAACGCGUAUCCAACCUUCCCGUUACUCAGGGAUAGCCUUCCGAAAGGGAGAUUAAUACCUGAUGGUAUUCAAAUUUCGCAUGUUAUUUGAAUUAAAGAUUUAUCGGUAACGGAUGGGGAUGCGUGACAUUAGGUAGAUGGCGGGGUAAUGGCCCACCAUGCCUACGAUGUCUAGGGGUUCUGAGAGGAAGGUCCCCCACACUGGAACUGAGACACGGUCCAGACUCCUACGGGAGGCAGCAGUGAGGAAUAUUGGUCAAUGGUCGGAAGACUGAACCAGCCAAGUAGCGUGAAGGAUGACUGCCCUACGGGUUGUAAACUUCUUUUGUUUGGGGAAAUAAAAGACGCUACGUGUAGCGUUCUGCAUGUACCUUACGAAUAAGCAUCGGCUAAUUCCGUG
rnacentral:rRNA from 1 species